ACAGCAGAUGUUUACUCAAAAACUUUUUUGACAAGUUAGCCUAUUUACCAGAAUGAUGUAUGGAUUUUAUCAAAGGGAUAAGGGAUGAAACUGGAACGGCUUGCUUAAGAAACGGAUGCCUUAAAAGCUCACCGGAGCUAGGGCGUUGCUUAGGAUUAACAGUUAAAGAUUUAGAAAGAAAAUCAUGGAAAACAGAACUUAACAAUUCUGGCCGACUAAUCUUUGGAGUACCAAUAGUAGCAAUUAAAUAUAGAGCACGUAAAGGAUUUUCGUUUAAAUACGGGGGCUCUCCCUCUACCAUCUCUAUAGCCAUAAUACCAAGACUCCAGACAUCAACUUUGAAACCAUAUUCCUUUCUAGUAACGACUUCUGGAGCCAUCCAAUAUGGAGUACCAACCAUCGUCGUUCGUUUCGUCAUGUUACUGUCGAUCUGAGCACAAAACCCAAAAUCGGUAAGUUUAAUAUCUCCUUGAAGUGAGAGAAGGAUAUUGUCUGAUUUUAUGUCACGGUGAACAAUGCCAUUUUCAUGGAGAUGCUGUAAGCCUUCCAACGUUUCCUUACAUAUUGCAGCUAUCUGACCUUCUGAAAGAGUGUUAUUGGUAACCACUUCAGUAAGACUGCCACCGCGCAUGUAUUCCAUUACCAUCCACAACUCUGAUUUAUAGAAGAAAGUGUCAAUAAAAUUGACAAUGUUUUUGUGAUGAUGUGACUUCAUCACGAGUAUUUCAUUGACAAUAAAUUCCUUUUUUGGCUGUUGAUUAAUGUUCAUUUUCUUGAUGGCAACAGAAAGAUUAGUGCCGACUUGGCGAGCAGAAUACACAUCACCAGAAGCACCUUGACCAAUUUUAACAAAAUUUCGAUAUAAAAGUGUUGGAUUUUUGGGAUUGCAUAUAGACUGUAACUUUGCCAAUACAGCAGAAUCAUUGGAUUGUUGUCGAGGUGCACGCUUUUGAAGUCGAGGGGCACUUGGUGCUUCCACUUUUUGAGGAGUCGCAACAGCUUUCGGUUUGGUGCUAGUCUCGGCUCUCCGUUGAUAUGGUGUCGAGUUAUUCGGACGGAUAUGUUUCGUUUCAGAUGUACUUAAGGUUUGAGGCGUUAACAAAACAGGGGAAUGACUUCGGAUUAUAUUAUCGGUUGACUUGCUGGAAACUAAUGGAGAAGGUUGUCGAGAAGCAUUAGAGGUAGUAGUUUUAACUGUUUGUGAUGAUAAUAAAGGAGACGAUGAAGAACUUGCAGGAGGCGUGGGAGCAGGUCGAGAAGGAUACAAACGAGAAGAUGAGCUUGUAGCAGAGGUGGGUUGAAGAUGAGAACUACUAGACAACGCUGAAACGGAGAGUAAAGGCUUCUCAGUACUUUCACGGGGAAAGGGUGGCUUUGCUCCCUCCUCAAGAUAUUUCUUGGAUUGGGAAUAAAAAGCCAUAGCGUCCAAAACGGCCUGUGGAUGUUGUACUUGUUCCGACUUUGUAAUGCCACUGACUUUUAGUAGUGCCUGCCAUUCAGUAGGCAUUCCAGUAAAUUCCCCAGUAUCAUAAUUAAAACCAACGUGAGUGACAUGCUUCGGAUCAAAUGGAGAAGAGAUGACAGUCGAUUUGCGAGGGCUGGCAGAGCCUGACCCAUAGGAACUUGUAGGACUGCUACCACCCCCAGUUAAGAACGAACUCAUGCUCGAGACAAAGUUUUCAAACGCAGACUUCUUUUGGUUCCUUUCAUCAUAUGAACGCACAUCAGAAACAUUAGUCUGAAGUUUUCUAAUGGAACUGCUACUAUGCUGACGAGAACCAAGUGAAACCCUAGAUACAGUUGUACGGGAUUGAGAUAAAGGGAAACCGGAAAAGGUGUCUUCAGCAAGAUUAGUAUUUAUAGCUGGAGGCUUUGGAGCUGUCCUGCUGGGCUUCAGUUUUCUCAAAUCAUCUUCUACUUCAUAACGUACAGGUUCACCAGUUUUAUGAGCAACAAUAGGGGUUAUUCCAUAGCCAUUUGGAGCCUUCUUUCGAGGUUGUAAAGUCCCUCUUUCCAUAGUAAAUAAAUUUAUUAACGAAAAGGGUAAAGAAAAACAGAAAUAGGACUAUGGCAAAUGUGUUGCAGAACGAAGGAAUAAGUUUCAGUAUGCAAAAAAAAAACAAAAAGACAAGAAUAGAGCACUUAAGUUGAAAAGGAUUUUUCUCCUAGUAAGA